rnacentral:rRNA from 1 species
UACGGAGGGGGCUAGCGUUGUUCGGAAUUACUGGGCGUAAAGCGCGCGUAGGCGGCUUUGUAAGUUAGAGGUGAAAGCCCGGGGCUCAACUCCGGAAUUGCCUUUAAGACUGCAUCGCUAGAAUCGUGGAGAGGUGAGUGGAAUUCCGAGUGUAGAGGUGAAAUUCGUAGAUAUUCGGAAGAACACCAGUGGCGAAGGCGACUCACUGGACACGUAUUGACGCUGAGGUGCGAAAGCGUGGGGAGCAAACAGG